GAUGAAGAACGUAGCGAAAUGCGAUAAGUAAUGUGAAUUGCAGAAUUCAGUGAAUCAUCGAAUCUUUGAACGCACAUUGCGCCCGUCAGUAUUCUGGCGGGCAUGCCUGUUCAAGCGUCAUUACGCCCCUCAAGUCCCCUGUGGACUUGGUGUUGGGGAUCGGCGAGGCUGGUUUUCCAGCACAGCCGUCCCUUAAAUUAAUUGGCGGUCUCGCCGUGGCCCUCCUCUGCGCAGUAGUAAAACACUCGCAACAGGAGCCCGGCGCGGUCCACUGCCGUAAAACCCCCCAACUUUUUAUAGUUGACCUCGAAUCAGGUAGGACUACCCGCUGAACUUAAGCAUAUCAAUAAGCGGAGGA
rnacentral:misc_RNA from 1 species